rnacentral:rRNA from 1 species
GACGAACGCUGGCGGCGUGCUUAACACAUGCAAGUCGAACGGAAAGGCCCUGCUUUUGUGGGGUGCUCGAGUGGCGAACGGGUGAGUAACACGUGAGUAACCUGCCCUUGACUUUGGGAUAACUUCAGGAAACUGGGGCUAAUACCGGAUAGGAGCUCCUGCUGCACGGUGGGGGUUGGAAAGUUUCGGCGGUUGGGGAUGGACUCGCGGCUUAUCAGCUUGUUGGUGGGGUAGUGGCUUACCAAGGCUUUGACGGGUAGCCGGCCUGAGAGGGUGACCGGCCACAUUGGGACUGAGAUACGGCCCAGACUCCUACGGGAGGCAGCAGUGGGGAAUAUUGCACAAUGGGCGGAAGCCUGAUGCAGCAACGCCGCGUGCGGGAUGACGGCCUUCGGGUUGUAAACCGCUUUCGCCUGUGACAAAGCGUGAGUGACGGUAAUGGGUAAAGAAGCACCGGCUAACUACGUG